CAAAUUAACAAGGAAAACCAUUAUAAAAUUGCAAAACGAAUCUUUCCGCCUUGAUUCAUACAUGCAUCAAUGGUAGUUGAUAAAAGCAGAAACGCAAUCAUUUUCUUCCCUCACAUUUUUAUUUUCCUAUUGCUAUCGUCAAAGAUAGUGACUUUUAUAAAAGAACCCACGCCUAAUUGGGACUUUUCUCAGUCUUACUUGGAUGAGCAUCAUCCAAACUCAGAGAAUCUUACGUAUCUACAGCUUCUUCCCCUUCCAACACAGGGCCGAAGGAGAGAAAGGUUUUGGUUGUAGGUUGGUAUGGGUUCUGAUGAAGAAGAACGAUUAGAGAGGAAGAGUGAGGAAUUGAAGAAGGUUGUGCAUACAUGCAUAGCUUGCUUAUGGUCGUUUUUGGUGAGUUUGAGCGGAGCCCUGAUGUUGGGAUGGUGGGGAUAUGAAUAUCAUCCAACAAAUAGUCAGCUUUGGUUGGUACCCUUUGGUCUUAUUCUGUUUGUAACCCCACUCAUCAUUUGGUUCGCCAUUUUUGUUUCUUAUUUCUGCAAUUUUACUGGAGAUGGUUCAUCAUCAUCACUUCAUGACCCUGAAAAGAUGAUCGACCAUGUUAUUCCCACUCCCUAAUCCUAUUCAUAUUGUUUCUUUCAAGCUUUUCUUUCAUUUUGGGAUAAACUAUACUAGAGUUGCAGGCUUUUUCAAUAUUAGAUCGCGCCUUUCCUUGUGCA